ACCCGCUCUCCCCAGCACAGGCCCACGCCCCACGCCAUGCGGCCCGCUCCUCUCCCUCUCGCGGCGGGGCGGCGCGGCACGGUUCUCCCCCACUCGCAGCGUGGCGGCCUCAUUCCUCUCCGAGCAGCGGCGGAACGGCCACAUCCCAUGGCGGCCCGACUGCAGGGCGGCGUGGACCUCGGAGUGGACCGGCGGCAGCGGCGGCCCGGCUGCAGAGCCUUGCGCGGGGGCCUGUCCGGUCAUGGAUUCGCUCCUGUACGCCGCGCCCGCACCCUGGAGCACCGAUCGUGCAGCACCAAUCCCAGCGGCAGCACGCCACGCACCCACCAGCGCCUCGACUGUCACCUCGAUGACGGGCCUCCACGUCCGGUGUGGAGAUACGGGAUAGCCGCAGCCACAACCCUCGAGCGGUGAGCCUAGAACAGUGCCGGCCACCCAGAAGCCAGAACAUCUUGAGAAAGUUCAAGAAUGAACAAAAUAUAUUUUCGUUUACACAAGUUUUGAAUUUAAGGAAGUUCAGGAAUGAAGAACAAUAUAUAUUUAUUCAUUUACGCUGUUUUGAAUUUAAGCUUAUCAGUUAAGUGAUGCCUAGCUCUUGCCUCACCAAUAUGGAAGAUCGCUCAGUGCACAUUCAGUCAUUUGUACAACGAAACCUGCAAUACACAUGGGUCUUUGUAAGAAACUAUUAUGCCACUCAAUUUUCUUGUAAUCCCUUAUUUGUCACUCAGAAUCACGAAAUGAAAUUUGACAUGCCAUAGAGAGUUCACCCAAGCAAACUUAGCAUAGCACGAACUUGUAGUUAAGAAUUGUGGCGCAUAGCUCGCACAUCGCUUGCAUUGGGUGAGAUUAACUAUAUUUAACUGUAAACAAUCAAUUUAGGUGUAACACUUGAUAAAAUUUUAUUUUUGAAACUGCAGUGGUUGCGGUGUGCAGCGACAAGGGAACCCUGCAUGUUUUCAGCUUGAGAGUUAUUAGAGUUGGGGAAUAAUAUGAAGCUGGUCACAAGCAAUCUGCUGAUCAAGCAACACCUUCUUAAAAACAAACACUGCAUCAAUGCAGGAUCAUUCUUGUCUUUCAUGAAAGGUAACCAAAAGAAAUCGUUUUUGACUUAUUUUCCUCUUUUUUGGUGAUGGUUGGUUCCCUUGCUCUUUCAAAUUCGUGCAUUAGGCUUCUGUAGCUACAACUUCGUUUAGAGAAGCAUGAACCUUUAGUAAUGCUAUGGAAGAUGACAGUUCAGAUUCUUUAAUCAACCCGGUGAAGUGAUGGAGGUGUUGCCGGUAAUUUAGUAGAUCCCUAUCUUAAGGCGAUCACCAUCUGCCACUGGUCAAUUUUUGGAUGCAAUGCAAAUAUGGUUGCUGGGUCAGUGUAAUGAUGUUCAGAUGUUGACGUCUUCUCAAAUGAUCAGUCGUUAUGUGACAUUCAUCAUGUACAUGACAAAUAUUUGGUUAUACAAUAUAUAAGACGAGAAUCCUAAUAAAUCAGAUUGUUCGUUUUGUUUUUUACAACUUGUUUUUUGUUUAACCAUAACAUUAGCAUGGGCACACUACUUUAAUCGGGAGAUGAGGGACCUGGAGCCGACCCUUGAGGUAGAUCGGUCGGCAGGCAAGCCGCAAGCGCUUCCUGAACCAGAGCACACUGCAGGUGGAGAGCAGUUUGAUGUUGAGCACAUGCAAGAGCAGCACGUUGCAGGCACUUUUGACCAUCUGGAUGGAGGAAGCUAGAGUUUUUGUGGACACAAGUGAAGGAAUGUCAAGGCAACCUUCGAUGGAAUGGUAGACAUAUUUAGCUCAUUAGAUUUCAUGUGUACAAACAAGUAUGUCAGAUACCUUAUGUAUUUGAGCAAUGUGUGUCUAAGCUGGUUUUAACAUUGGAUGGUUCCAUGAA